rnacentral:lncRNA from 1 species
GUAAGCACAACACUCCAAACAUAUACCUCACGUGCAGACACACAAUAUUCAAAUAGGCAAAACAAAAUCACCAAAAUCACAACACUAGACAAAAACUUCACGAUGGUAGAACAUUAUUCGUAGAAUUGUGGUGUCAAGGUUUAUAAGCUCUGUGUUUGGAAUCAAAAGGUCAAUGCAGAUGUCCUUGGGAAGCCUAGAGCAAAGGAAUAUGCGAGUGUCAGG